rnacentral:rRNA from 1 species
AUUGAACGCUGGCGGCAGGCCUAACACAUGCAAGUCGAGCGAGCGGCGGACGGGUGAGUAAUGUCUGGGAAACUGCCUGAUGGAGGGGGAUAACUACUGGAAACGGUAGCUAAUACCGCAUACCAUCAGAUGUGCCCAGAUGGGAUUAGCUAGUAGGUGGGGUAAUGGCUCACCUAGGCGACGAUCCCUAGCUGGCCUGAGAGGAUGACCAGCCAAACUGGACAUGAGACACGGUCCAGACUCCUACGGGAGGCAGAAGUGGGGAAUAUUGCAAAAUGGGCGCAAGCCUGAGGCAGCCAUGCCGCGUGAGUGAAGAAGGCCUUCGGGUUGUAAAGAACUGUCAGCGGGGAGGCGUUACCUGCAGAAGAAGCACCGGAUAAAUCCGUGCCAGCCGCCGCGGUAAUUC